rnacentral:rRNA from 1 species
AACGUAGGAGGCAAGCGUUAUCCGGAUUUACUGGGCGUAAAGCGCGUGCAGGCGGCUUGGAAAGUUGGAUGUGAAAGCUCCCGGCUCAACUGGGAGAGGUCGUUCAAGACUUCCGGGCUGGAGGGUGGUAGAGGGAGGUGGAAUUCCGGGUGUAGUGGUGAAAUGCGUAGAUAUCCGGAGGAACACCAGUGGCGAAAGCGGCCUCCUGGACCACAUCUGACGCUCAGACGCGAAAGCUAGGGGAG